CUACGGGCGGCUCCAGUAAGGAAUAUUGCGCAAUGGAGGCAACUCUGACGCAGCCAUGCCGCGUGCAGGAAGAAGGCCUUAUGGGUCGUAAACUGCUUUUAUUUAGGAAUAAACCCCCGAACGUGUUCGGGGCUGAAGGUACUAAACGAAUAAGCACCGGCUAACUCCGUGCCAGCAGCCGCGGUAAUACGGAGGGUGCAAGCGUUAUCCGGAUUUAUUGGGUUUCAAGGGUGCGCAGGCGGGCUAUUAAGUCAGUGGUGAAAUCCCGGGGCUCAACUCCGGAACUGCCAUUGAUACUGAUAGUCUUGAGUUUGGUUGAAGUGGGCGGAAUGUAGCAUGUAGCGGUGAAAUGCAUAGAUAUGCUACAGAACACCAAUCGCGAAGGCAGCUCACUAAGCCAAAACUGACGCUCAUGCACGAAAGCGUGGGGAUCAAACAGGAUUAGAUACCCCGGUAGUC
rnacentral:rRNA from 1 species